GAACCAACCAUAAAGCAGGCACACGUACGUCUGGUGUUGCGUACGUCAGGACACGCAGCCCAGCCCUAGACCAUGCAUGUGUGUGACAGGGACCGAGCUUUUGCUCCCACUACCGGAUCAUGUGGCGGUGCCGCCUUAAAGCCAAGAUCAUCCGAUCCAGCACCGAAAAAAAAAGAUCCCGAAUGGCCGGCGAUGGAGGAUGCAUGGCUCUCUGCUAGACAAGACGACGGUGCGCAAUGGCGUACGUUCAGAGAUUCAGAAAGCUAACUAGAGCUUGCGGCUGAAGCAACUCUUGUGCUACAGAGUGGUUCCGUUCGUUAGUUGGUAGAGGCCCCGGGUAGAGCACGCAGCAACCAUGGUCGUCAUGGUGGGUGGCGGCCGGCCGGCGCCUGGCGGCCUCUCCUUUUCGCCGGCCGGCCGAUUCGGAGCCCACCUCACAUCAGAUUCAGACAGCCGCCUACAUGACUAGCAUAUUAUUACCAAGUGCAGUGUAGUGCCUAGUGGGGGAUGAGCGUGAGAUAAGGAGUCGUUGAUCGUGGGCCCGAUUCCUAAUUCUUCGCAGCGAAUUGCUCUGUUAGCCGAUGAAGAAGUUUCUUCCCCUAUAAAAAUGUAAACAGAAAAUUUUCUUCUUUUGACGGAUAAACAGGGACGGAGAUAGGAAACAUUCUC
rnacentral:lncRNA from 7 species